rnacentral:rRNA from 1 species
GACGAACGCUUUCCUCGUGCUUAACACAUGCAAGUCGAACGGAAAGGCCCUGCUUUUGUGGGGUGCUCGAGUGGCGAACGGGUGAGUAACACGUGAGUAACCUGCCCUUGACUUUGGGAUAACUUCAGGAAACUGGGGCUAAUACCGGAUAGGAGCUCCUGCUGCAUGGUGGGGGUUGGAAAGUUUCGGCGGUUGGGGAUGGACUCGCGGCUUAUCAGCUUGUUGGUGGGGUAGUGGCUUACCAAGGCUUUGCCGGGUAGCCGGCCUGAGAGGGUGACCGGCCACAUUGGGACUGAGAUACGGCCCAGACUCCUACGGGAGGCAGCAGUGGGGAAUAUUGCACAAUGGGCGGAAGCCUGAUGCAGCAACGCCGCGUGCGGGAUGACGGCCUUCGGGUUGUAAACCGCUUUCGCCUGUGACGAAGCGUGAGUGACGGUAAUGGGUAAAGAAGCACCGGCUAACUACGUG